AUUGAACGCUGGCGGCAGGCUUAACACAUGCAAGUCGAGCGAGCGGCGGACGGGUGAGUAAUGUCUGGGAAACUGCCUGAUGGAGGGGGAUAACUACUGGAAACGGUAGCUAAUACCGCAUACCCUCAGCUGUUCCCAGAUGGGGUUGGCUAGUAGGUGGGUUAACGGCUCACCUAGGCGACGAUCCCUAGCUGGUCUGAGAGGAUGACCAGCAACACUGGAACUGAGACACGGUCCAGACUCCUACGGGAGGCAGCAGUGGGGAAUAUUGCACAAUGGGCGAAAGCCUGAUGCAGCCAUGCCGCGUGUGUGAAGAAGGCCUUCGGGUUGUAAAGCACUUUCAGCGAGGAGGCGUUACUCGCAGAAGAAGCACCGGCUAACUCCGUGCCAGCAGCCGCGGUAAUUC
rnacentral:rRNA from 1 species